rnacentral:rRNA from 1 species
UACGUAGGGGGCUAGCGUUGUCCGGAAUCAUUGGGCGUAAAGCGCGUGUAGGCGGUCCGGUAAGUCCGCUGUGGAAGUCGAGGGCUCAACCCUCGAAUGCCGGUGGAUACUGUCGGGCUUGAGUACGGGAGAGGCGAGUGGAAUUCCUGGUGUAGCGGUGAAAUGCGCAGAUAUCAGGAGGAACACCGAUUGCGAAGGCAGCUCGCUGGAACGUUACUGACGCUGAGACGCGAAAGCGUGGGGAGCAAACAGG